rnacentral:rRNA from 1 species
UACGUAGGGGGGCUAGCGUUAUCCGGAAUUACUGGGCGUAAAGGGUGCGUUAGGUGGUUUUUUAAGACAGAAGUGAAAGGCUACGGCUCAACCGUAGUAAGCUUUUUGAAACUAAAGAACUUUGAGUGCAGGAGAGGAGAGUAGAAUUCCUAGUGUAGCGGUGAAAUGCGUAGAUAUUAGGAGGAACACCUGCGGUGUAGACGGCUUCUGGACCGUAACUGACGCUGAGGCACGAAAAGCGUGGGGUAGCAAAACAGG